rnacentral:rRNA from 1 species
UACGUAGGAUCCGAGCGUUAUCCGGAGUGACUGGGCGUAAAGAGUUGCGUAGGUGGUUAUAUAAGCGAAUAGUGAAACCUGGUGGCUCAACCAUACAGACUAUUAUUCGAACUGUAUAACUCGAGAGUAGCAGAGGUACCUGGAAUUUCUGAAGUAGGGGUAAUAUCCGUAGAUAUCAGAAGGAACACCAAUGGCGUAGGCAGGGUACUGGGCUAUUUCUGACACUGAGGCACGAAAGCGUGGGGAGCGAACCGG